GCCCAUUUGGCUAAAUGGAUAGAGCGUCAGCCUGCAUACUGAAGGGUUCCAGGUUUGAUUCCUGUCAAGGGCA
rnacentral:tRNA from 1 species